rnacentral:rRNA from 1 species
GACGAAGGGGGCUAGCGUUGUUCGGAAUUACUGGGCGUAAAGCGCGUGUAGGCGGUUGUCCAAGUUGGAUGUGAAAGCCUUGAGCUUAACUCAAGAAAUGCAUUCAGGACUGGAUGACUAGAGGACCGGAGAGGAUAGUGGAAUUCCCAGUGUAGUGGUGAAAUACGUAGAGAUUGGGAGGAACACCAGUGGCGAAGGCGGCCGGCUGGGCCAUUCCGUGACGCUGAGACGCGAAAGCUAGGGGAGCGAAC